GAUGAACGCUAGCGGCAGGCUUAAUACAUGCAAGUCGAGGGGCAGCGGGAGUAGCAAUACUUGCCGGCGACCGGCGCACGGGUGCGUAACACGUAUGUAAUCUGCCCAUCACAGGAGAAUAGCCCGGAGAAAUUCGGAUUAAUACUCCAUAAUAAAUUGAGUGGCAUCACUUGAUUUUGAAAGUUCCGACGGUGAUGGAUGAACAUGCGACUGAUUAGUUAGUUGGUGAGGUAACGGCUCACCAAGACCACGAUCAGUAGGGGUACUGAGAGGUUAAACCCCCACACUGGUACUGAGACACGGACCAGACUCCUACGGGAGGCAGCAGUAAGGAAUAUUGGACAAUGGCCGCAAGGCUGAUCCAGCCAUGCCGCGUGCAGGAAGAAGGCCCUAUGGGUCGUAAACUGCUUUUGAACAAAGAGAAAACCCCUCUACGUGUAGAGGGCUGAUAGUAUUGUUAGAAUAAGCAUCGGCUAACUUCGUGCCAGCACG
rnacentral:rRNA from 1 species